GGAGCUUUUGCUUUUGCUUUAAAAGUAAUUUUUAGUAUCUUUAUAAUGAUUUUGAAUAUUCAUUGUAAUAGUGGUUGUCUUAUGAAGAAAUUUUUAUGACAAGUAAAAUAAAGCUGUAAGCUCCUGUUAGCCUUCAUGAUACACAUAAACCUGAUAAAAGCCUUUUUAUAGUGACAGACUUGGUGUCUCAUGUAUAUCAUGUUGGACUGCCUAGUGACAUGAAUGCUAAAAAAUUGAUGAAAAUAAUGCCAGAUCUUAGCUGUUAUAUACAUGUAUUUAAUGAUCUUUCCAUAUGAAAUAUUUACUACAUAUAUGUACAAUAUCCUUAAGGAUUUAACCAUUUCAUGCUCUGUUUUGCAUGUACAUGAAGUUAAAAUGAAGGUGAAUUUGGAAUGAUAAAGAUCUACAGCAAGAGCGUAGUUGGCUAAGCUAUUGUUAAUUACGGUAAAUGAAUUCAGUCAAUGUUAUCUAUUUUAUAUUAAGAAUGAAUUUGCUAUGCUUAGUGUUCAAUUAGCUCUUGUUGAUAAAAGAAAUGUUAUUAAAGAUGUAUUUUGCCAUUU
rnacentral:sRNA from 1 species